rnacentral:lncRNA from 1 species
AGACUCUAGUCUGAAGAUACCAGUCUCUCCCUCCCAAGAUCACCUCCCCUGACCAACCUUCUGCACUCCUGACAGAUACAAGGGAGCAAGCAAGUUGCACCCAACCUAAUAGUAAAUUGCAGGGACAUUUCCAUUCUAAGGAAGGAAUUUUUGUGUGUGUUGCAACUCAGCUUCUGCUCUGGCAUUUUGCUGUGGAUUUAUAUUGCCAAUCAUGUUGGAGAGUCCAUGUGGUGAUUUCUGAAAACGAGAUGUGAGAAAGAAGAGGAUAAUUUAAGUCUAGACCUACAGAUUGUGCUGAUAAAGUGAUGAAGAACUACAAUCUUCUUAGUCAUUUCAUUGUAUAAGUGCAAUAAAGGGGAGAAGCCUGGUUUGAGUGAGUUUUUCCUGAAGCAAAAGGGAAGAGCUUAAUUUCAAAAGGAUAUCUUGAAAGACGCAUCAACUCACCAUUAGAAAACAUGAAACGACAGAUUAUAUCCUAAGAUUGUGUGAACCUCUUACCUGGAAACCCGUACAAUUGCUUUAUCUACCAAUCCUAAACUAUUAUAUCUUGAUCUUUACUCAAUCCUAAUUACACACCCACAUUGAAAGACCUAUCUUAAUUCAGACUUCAAAAUCUUACAAACGUCCAAGUCCCUCCUUUGAAAUGCUACUAAGACUGCAGUAAGAAUACAUGGCAUGCAGUGACUGAGAGGAAGAGAGAUACUAACACUUGAAGUAAUCCAGUCUAUCAAUAGGAGAUGGACUGCUUUGAUUUAAAGCGAUUUACAAAAGGAUUUGGAUACCUCAUCUCUCCUGUUUCGCCAAGGUCUUGACUCAUCGCUGCAGGUGACUAAAUCCCAUUGAGCUAAAUCUCCUG